rnacentral:misc_RNA from 1 species
UCAAAUGAUUGCAUUUAAUAUGCAGGGAUAUGGCAAAUCACUUUGGUUAAUGCAUGGGAUGUUCAGGGCCAAUGGAGGGUGUGGUUAUGUUCAAAAGCCUGAUUUUUUAAUGCAGAACGACGAUGAGGUUUUUGACCCUAAAAGAAAACUAUCAGUGAUUAAGACGUUAAAGGUGAAAGUAUAUUUGGGUGAUGGAUGGCGGUUGGAUUUUAGCCACACGUACUUUGAUGCGUACUCCCCACCUGACUUCUAUACGAAGCUUUACAUUGUUGGGGUACCCGCUGAUGCUGCCCGCAAAAAAACGAAGAUAAUCGAGGACAACUGGGCUCCAGUUUGGAACCAGGAAUUUACCUUCCCAUUGACUGUUCCUGAACUAGCUUUGCUUCGGGUUGAAGUAAGAGAAUAUGACAUGUCUGAAAAGGAUGACUUCGGUGGACAAACAUGCUUACCUGUCUCAGAGCUAAGACCAGGGAUCCGAUCAGUCCCUCUUCAUGAUAAGAAAGGAGAGAAGCUUAAUAAUACAAGACUUCUAAUGAAGUUCGAGUUUUUGUAAAUUUACAUGCAACUACUGCUCAUACAAGGUAUAUGCUUUUGGAUUUUUCUUGCCUACAAUUAUCCACCGUCGAUUAAGAUAUAAGAUAUAUUGUGAGAUUUAUCUAUUAAAUUCAUGUAUUUUAUAUAUUUGUCUAAAUUAUAUGAUAAAUCAAAUUUAGGCAAGAAUUUCCUCGUACUUCUAUCUUAUAGCUGCCUUGCAACAUCUACGCAUUUUCCCUCAUAAUGG